rnacentral:lncRNA from 1 species
UAUGAAGGGAUGCGCUCCCGGUCCAGGGCGCUGGCCACCUUGAUGAGGCUCAGGUUGGGCACCUUGCUCCUCUGCACCUCAAAGUGGCGCUGCUCAUUGCCCCCGAGAAUCUGCACUGAAAUGUUUCCGUUGGCUGCUGGGGAGUCAGCGUCAGUCACGGUGAGCAGAGCCACCACUGUACCCACCUGCGCGUUCUCAUCCACCGAAGCAUAGCGCGAGGUGGCAGGGAAGUAGCGAAACUUCACUACCGGGUCGUUGUCAUUGACAUCUAACAACUGGAUAAACGCUUCGGCGCGCCCGGUGAGAGAGGGCACGCCCCGGUCCGUGGCCUGAACUGUUAGCGAAUACUGUCGCCGGGCCUCGAAAUCUAGCGGCUCUCUCACGGUGAUGAGCCCCGUCUCUGGGUCCAUCUGGAAGGGGGUUCCCUCAUCUUGCAGCCGGUAACGGAUGUCUGCAUUGGUGCCCUCGUCUGCGUCCGCCGCCGCCACCUGCAGGACACUGGAGCCCACAACUGCGUCUUCAGGCACCCCCGCCUGGAGCUGGUACUGAGGUGUGACUUCGCGGUCCAGCCCGCCCUUGGAUACCAGGUGCAGGAACGCUCCCUCGCCACUGGGGUUCAAGGUGAUGUCCAGCCGAAAGCGGCCCGCCUCGUUGCCGCUGACGAUGCGGUAGGAGUGGUGGUCCACACCGUUGGAGCCGAUGUCAGAGUCCGUGGCGGUGUCCAGAAUGACCUGACGCCCGCUACCACUGUCCUCCUUGAAGGUGACCACGAUCGAAGGGUCUGGGAAGACUGGGGCGUUGUCAUUGAGGUCACGCACCAGCACUCGCACCUCGGUAGGGUAUGUGGGGGAGCUGGAAAGGACCACCAGGUUGACCACAUCGCUGGGCAGGCUCUCGCGGUCGAUGGUAGCGGUGGUGUACAGCGCUCCGGUGCUGCUGUUAAUCGCGAACAGGGCGUGGCUUUCACUGAGACGAUAGGUAAAGCCAGGACGCGUUGGGAUGGUGCCCACCAGAGUCCCUGGGGGCUGCUCUUCCAUCACCUGGAACACCUGGCGCUGUUCGGCCGCUUGGACUCGGGCGGAGCCGGGGAGCAGUGAUAGCAGCCCCCAGACUCUCAGGAGCUGGCACAGAGAUGGAGAAGGUAGCGGGAGCCGCCUGCGGCCAGGAGCCCGGUUUGCGGCCAAGUUCAUGGUCCUAGUUUCCAGGAACCUGGAGAAGAAGAGAAACAAGGUGAAGGAAACGGGAUGGUCUGGAAGACUUCUGAGUGGCGCCAGUAAAAAGCCAGUUUGGCCAGAGACCUCUGCAGUUCAGAAGAGUGGGUGAGGGACAGGCGCUCUGGAGAAGGCUCUAGGUGGCCGGUAAGUCGCGCAACGCAGAAGAGAGUGAGGCGAAAGGCGACGGAGCAUCCCUGGGCUCUCCGGUGAAAGUUUCCAGGCCUCUAGACUCUUAGAUUGAAAUCCCAAGUCUGAGCGUCCUGGACGCGGACCGGAGUUGCUAGAGGCGGCCUGGAUUUCGGAGAUCCGAGGAGCCUCUUACUGCACUCACGUCUCUCCAAAAAACUUUAGAACUUACCCCGGAACGGGACGCCAAAAAGCGCAGGGCCAAGGGCCACAGAGCCCCUGCACCCUGGAGACAGCCGGGAGAGCCCGAAGCUAGCUGCGAAGACUCUUCUCUGGUUUCGUUCCGGGCGAGCCUGGAAGGUGGUCUGUGGGUCGGGCUCCUUCCCCCUGCAGCGGAGGCUGCCAGGGCUCCGCUUCCCCACUCCCGCAGCUCUCAGCUCCGUGCCUCUGCGGGCAGCCCGGGCUGCCUUUGCUCUCGCCGCGGGUCGAAGCCCGAGGUCCAGCCCAGGCUGCCGCAGGCACUGCUCCGCAUCCUUCACCUCCGCGCCGGCAUCAUUGAUUUCCUUUAUGAAUGCAGUUUUCCAUGGCUGAAGAUUGCCAACUUGGCAGGAUCCGAGUCCCCAGUGAGACACAUCUCAGAGCAUGUCCAUGAGGGACUUCGGGACCAGUUUGCCUGAAGUGGGAAAAACCACCCUAAGUAUGGUGGACGCUAUUCCAUCAGCUGGGGCUCUGCACUGAAGAGGAACGAGAAUGCUAGCUGAGGAGUUGAGCUCCAGACUUCACUGCUCUCUGUUGUCAGACUGCAGGCAUAGCAAAACUACUGUCUCCUACUCCUGUCACCAUGACGACCUGGGUUCUCAGACUGGGAGCCAGUUUAAAGUCUUCCUUAAACAGCUUCGUCUGGGUAUUUUGGCACAGCAACAAGACAGGUAAGUGAGGAUCAGCUGGCCAUAUGGGACCAUCAGAAACAUGGGCAAAACAUUAUUGUAACUUUUACCAACAGAAGAGUUGACAACGGGAAGAACCCAGUCAGAGAGUCCAUCCAAGAGGGCAGGGAACCCUUGCCCACGGCUCACAGCUGACAUCUGGUUUUAAAUUAAGAUGAUCAAAUGUGAGCUGCUGCAAGAUGACCCACCUCGUGUUUUCACUGAACUAAGCAUCUCUGGGUGUGAUAAUAAUUCACCAUAAAUGUUCCCCCACUGAGUGGUAACGAAUUAUAUGAACGGACUAGAAACAAUAACUUGUACCUUUUAAGUUCAUUAGAAAUUUUUCUAAGCUCAUUUGUUGCUGCAGAAGAUGCUGAGGCAAAAGAUGCUGAACAUGUUCGUGUUCCCAAGAGUGGUGUUUGAAUGUCACUAUGUAUGUGGGUAUUUAAAAUAGAUCCAUGGGGACACAGUAGAGAACAAACAAACAAACAGCUUCUGGAUUGGUUUGGUUAAAUCAAUUUUUUUCUUUUAAAGAAUGCAUAUGUCAAAAUCACUCGAUUAUUUAGAAAG